AAUAGAUACCCCGGUAGUCCAUGCCGUAAACGUUAGGGAACUAGAUGUGGGGACCAUUCCACGGUCUCCGUGUCGCAGCUAACGCAUUAAGUUCCCCGCCUGGGGAGUGCGGCCGCAAGGCUAAAACUCAAAGGAAUUGACGGGGGCCCGCACAAGCGGCGGAGCAUGCGGAUUAAUUCGAUGCAACGCGAAGAACCUUACCAAGGCUUGACAUAUACGAGAACGCCGUAGAAAUACGGAACUCUUUGGACACUUGUAUACAGGUGGUGCAUGGUUGUCGUCAGCUCGUGUCGUGAGAUGUUGGGUUAAGUCCCGCAACGAGCGCAACCCUCGUCGUAUGUUGCCAGCACGUAAUGGUGGGAACUCAUAUGAGACUGCCGGGGUCAACUCGGAGGAAGGUGGGGAUGAGGUCAAAUCAUCAUGCCCCUUAUGUCUUGGGCUUCACGCAUGCUACAAUGGCCGGUACAAAGGGCUGCAAUACCGCGAGGUGGAGCGAAUCCCAAAAAGCCGGUCUCGAGUUCGGAUUGAGGUCUGCAACCG
rnacentral:rRNA from 1 species